ensembl:lncRNA
GAGUUACUGUUGAGAACCCGCCUCAUUCCCCUUACAGGGAGCCGUUACCUUUCCAAGUCCCUGGACUGAUUGCUAAGGAACAAGUGCACCAGGCUUCAAGUUCCACCCACUCCCUGGCGCUACACAGCCUGAGUGCCCAGCAGCCCUGCCCACCGAAUCUGUUCUGUUUGCCUGAACUCACCUGGCGCUGCCUGAUGCCCUCAGCCGUUAGUAGUGAUGGAUGGAAAGAGGACCAGGGUGCUUAAUCAAUGGAUGAUGACAAUUCUUCUGCUCUUGGUUCCUGGGGGAACCUCAAGGACAGCAAGAUUUCUUCAUUAGCUGGUGGCUGAAUGUUGGCCUGAAGAACUCCUCUUUUCAACCUCAGGCUGCGUGGCCACCUUGGUUCCUUUGCCUGGACUUUUCUUCCAGUUCCUUGAGUCCCCCAUCCUUUUGUUUUUUGCCACGGCUUUCAUUGUGGUAUAACUUACAUACCAUUAGAUGUACUCAUUUCCAAGUGUUCGAUUCAAAGAUUUUUAGUAAACGUUGUGCAACUAUCACAAUUCAAUUUUAGCACCUUUUGAUCACCCAUUUGCAGUCACGUCUGGUUCCUUUUUGGCAAUGGGAAGCCUGGGUCAUCCUUUCCCACUAUCUCCUGGGAGAGCUGAUCCCAAAGGAAAG